CCGAGUUCCGAAGGACACGCGGUGGUCUAAAUAUGCCACUUCGUGCCCCGGCCUCCAACCCUUUGUGAACACAACUUGUUGCUUCGGGGGCGACCCUGCCGUUCGCGGCGGGCGCCCCCGGAGGCCUUCCAACACUGCAUCUCUGCGUCGGAGUUUAAGU
rnacentral:misc_RNA from 1 species